GUUAGGAUUACGUGCUAACAAAAUUUUACAAUAUAUCAAUUUCUUAAUACAAAGGUCAUUCCUAUUGCAACCAAUAGAAAAUUUAACUCAAGUUAAAUUGAACUACCCUAUGCCUUAUGUAAUGCUAAUUCCAAUGUAACAAUUCAUAACAUUUAUAUAUAUAUAUAUACAUAUUAAUUUGUAUCUAAUGAAAUCUGAUUUAUUCUCUCCCUAUGUUACCUUUCUAGUUACAACAUUCCCUUUUCCACCCGAAACUCUUCUGUCCCUGUCUGUUAAUGGUUACAUACUUGUUGGUUGCCUCACCUUGAAAGACUAUCUCAGGCCCCCAACAUUUCCCCUGGAUAAGAGUUUGAAAAAGUCUUCUGUGACUAGGGGAGGCUGCUAAGAGACCACUACCACCACUUUCCUUCUCCAGGCUAGGAUAGCAGAGUGAAGAAGCCUCUUCCAGAAUUGCUGCGAGUGAAGGGAACCAUGGCAAUAAUAAGUUCUAAAAGUAGACCUAGCCAAGUGCAAGAACUGCUAUGUUCUCACAUUCAAGGAAAAAGCACAGGCUGAUGUGGGGAAAUGAAAUUGGCAAUAUUUGAAAUGGUUCCUGAGAAUGAAUCAUCUGCUGACAAGUUCUGCCUACUUUUUGACCUAUCUAUGCCAUACCCUCUAGGGGUACAUCUGAGAUAAAAUAACUUGUAGUCUGAUUCCCUGAAUGCAAAAAGCAAAGCUGACUUUGCAACCCAGGCAGGGCCAACCCUCCAGGUUAAAUGUCUCAUAUGUGCUAGGAGGGUAUAAACAGCAAGUAAAAUCCUAUUUGAAUUUUUAAAAAAAUAUCACCAAGGGCAUAGCUGUUUAGCAAGGUCACUUCUGUUCUCAAAAAAGAAUAUGAAAUACUUCUGGCAUGAGUUAUAGGGAGAAUUUCAAAAGCAUACUGCCAAUAUAAUCAAAGUGAAUGACACAAAUCAGUUAAUUCAUUUGAACAAGGAAAUAUCUAGUUUAUUUCUCAUCCUGUUCCACAGUUAAAGAGUAUCAAAAUAUAAGGUGGAGAAAAGUUCUCAUGUUUCAUAAUGCUGAAUCCAUUCCAAAUCAGUCCUUGCUUCAUUAAGGUAAAAACAAAGUGAAGUAUGAGAUGCCUAUUAGGUUACUUAUAAAAUAAAAGUCAUAUUAACUCUCUGAUCUCUGCCCUG
rnacentral:lncRNA from 1 species